rnacentral:rRNA from 1 species
GGAGUUAGCCGGUGCUUCUUCUGUGAGUGAUGUCCUUCCUGCCGGUUAUUGACCCGCAGGCCUUCUUCCUCACUGAAAGUGCUUUACAACCCGAAGGCCUUCUUCACACACGCGGCAUGGCUGGAUCAGGGUUGCCCCCAUUGUCCAAUAUUCCCCACUGCUGCCUCCCGUAGGAGUCUGGGCCGUGUCUCAGUCCCAGUGUGGCUGAUCAUCCUCUCAGACCAGCUACGGAUCGUCGCCUUGGUGAGCCGUUACCUCACCAACCAGCUAAUCCGACAUAGGCUCAUCCGAUAGCGCGAGGCCCGAAGGUCCCCCGCUUUCCCCCGUAGGGCGUAUGCGGUAUUAGCCUGGGUUUCCCCAGGUUAUCCCCCACUACCGGGCAGAUUCCUAUGCAUUACUCACCCGUCCGCCGCUCGCCACCAGGGAGCAAGCUCCCCGUGCUGCCGCUCGACUUGCAUGUGUUAGGCCUGCCGCCAGCGUUCAAUCUGAGCCAUGAUCAAACUACUGA